CAGGCUGUAUCUGAUCCCAUAACGUGAGAAGAACUACAGGCACCAUGGAUCCAAAGCAAAUGUGGAAUCAUGUGAAAUCUCCUCCAAUAACUAGUAUAACUUGCCUUGUUAUUACAAAACUGCUAUGCCUGGCUCUUCCCAUUGCUCAGAUUGCAAUAGGUGCAGUGUAUCUGCAAGACUGUCCCCGGCA